rnacentral:rRNA from 1 species
GUGCCAGCCGCCGCGGUAAUACGGAGGGUGCAAGCGUUAAUCGGAAUUACUGGGCGUAAAGCGCACGCAGGCGGUUUGUUAAGUCAGAUGUGAAAUCCCCGAGCUUAACUUGGGAACUGCAUUUGAAACUGGCAAGCUAGAGUCUUGUAGAGGGGGGUAGAAUUCCAGGUGUAGCGGUGAAAUGCGUAGAGAUCUGGAGGAAUACCGGUGGCGAAGGCGGCCCCCUGGACAAAGACUGACGCUCAGGUGCGAAAGCGUGGGGAGCAAACAGGAUUAGAUACCCUGGUAGUCCACGCUGUAAACGAUGUCGACUUGGAGGUUGUGCCCUUGAGGCGUGGCUUCCGGAGCUAACGCGUUAAGUCGACCGCCUGGGGAGUACGGCCGCAAGGUUAAAACUCAAAUGAAUUGACGGGGGCCCGCACAAGCGGUGGAGCAUGUGGUUUAAUUCGAUGCAACGCGAAGAACCUUACCUACUCUUGACAUCCAGAGAAUUCGCUAGAGAUAGCUUAGUGCCUUCGGGAACUCUGAGACAGGUGCUGCAUGGCUGUCGUCAGCUCGUGUUGUGAAAUGUUGGGUUAAGUCCCGCAACGAGCGCAACCCUUAUCCUUUGUUGCCAGCGAGUAAUGUCGGGAACUCAAAGGAGACUGCCGGUGAUAAACCGGAGGAAGGUGGGGAUGACGUCAAGUCAUCACGGCCCUUACGAGUAGGGCUACACACGUGCUACAAUGGCAUAUACAAAGAGAAGCGAACUCGCGAGAGCAAGCGGACCUCAUAAAGUAUGUCGUAGUCCGGAUUGGAGUCUGCAACUCGACUCCAUGAAGUCGGAAUCGCUAGUAAUCGUAGAUCAGAAUGCUACGGUGAAUACGUUCCCGGGCCUUGCACACACCGCCCGU